rnacentral:rRNA from 1 species
UACGUAGGGGGCUAGCGUUGUCCGGAAUCAUUGGGCGUAAAGAGCGUGUAGGCGGCCCGGUAAGUCCGCUGUGAAAGUCCAGGGCUCAACCCUGGGAUGCCGGUGGAUACUGUCGGGCUCGAGUCCGGAAGAGGCGAGUGGAAUUCCUGGUGUAGCGGUGAAAUGCGCAGAUAUCGGGAGGAACACCGGUGGCGAAGGCGGUUCUCUGGGCCUUACCUGACGCUGAGGAGCGAAAGCGUGGGGAGCGAACAGG